GUGAAACACUUUCUUCCCACCAGGCAUCACACAUGCUAAAACUGGAAUGAUACAGAAAACUUUCACACGGCCCCUGCACAAAGAUGACAAGCCAAUUCAUGAAGCGUUCCAUAUUUAA
rnacentral:snRNA from 1 species